rnacentral:lncRNA from 1 species
ACACGGAGGGCCCGGGCGGGGAAGGGUGGGGGGCUUGCAGGGGUGCCUGGGUCGGGGGCUGCAGGUGGGAGUGAGCAAAUGUGCUGUCUCGCCACCUCGGGACAGGUGGUAGGGCCUCUGACACAGAGUGGUCCUUCCUGCUGUUCACAGCUCAGCUCACCGUGGGCUGACCAUAGAUUCUCGUUGAAAUCCUAACGCCCCAGGCAAUGAUGUUAGGAGGCGGGGCUUCUGGGAGAUGGCAAGUUCGUGAGGCUGCAGCUCUGCUGGGGGAUCAGUGUCCUUCUACAAGCGGCUCCAGGGAGGUCCCUUGCCCCUUCCACCAUGUGAGGACCCGAGAUGGUGCCGUCUAUGAACCGGGAAGUGAGUCCUCUCCGGACGUGGAACAAGUUGGUGCCUUGAUUUUGAACUUGCAGCCUCCAGCACGGCCACUAGCACGUUUGAAGUCACACACAGGGUAGCGCCGGCCUGGACAGAGGCGGACAUCUGACAAGCGGGCCAAUGAGGAUGACAUCUCGGACGGUAGUCACUGCUACAACGAAAUUCCAGAGUUCACAAGUCCGUGUAAUGGAGGCAUCGGCCGGCCUGGUUCCUUGAGAGGGGGUGAGGGAUCUGCUUCCCACUUCCGGCUUCUGGGGCUGUGCCGCAGUUUCUGCUGCUCUUCUGCUUGUGGAAGCAUCAUGGUCUCUGUCUUCACCUCACACCUGCUCCCUGUGCCCGUCUGUGCCCAAUUUCCCCUUUUCUCAGGGCCCAGACAUCUUAGAUAAGGGCUCACCCCAACCUAGCAUGACCUCAUCUUAGCCAAUUACGUUACCAGUGACCCUAUUUCCAAAUAAGGCCACUUCCUGGGGUGCUGGGGAAAGGACUUCAACGUGAAGUUUUGGGAGACACAGGUGCGCCCACAUCACCAGGGGUGUGUGAGCAUGAUGAGCAGCUCGGGGCUCUGGACCUGUCUGCGGGAGCUCCGAGUCCCACGGCACUUGGAGCUGGUUGAGAAUGGGGCUGGGAGCCCCAGGUCAGGUUGAAUUGGUGCUGGGGACACAUGUCUCGUCCCUGGUUCCCCCAGGCUUUAUUAUGACGCACAGUUUCCCGAGAAGCGGAGUCUGAGAUGGAGACUUUUGUACAAGGGACUCACUGAGAGGUACUCCCAGGAGAAAGUGGGGGUGAGACGCAGGACUGGGGGAGCUGAGCUGGGAGGGGCUCUCAGCCACAGCCCAGCCACAGCCCCAGAACCUGAAACGCACCCCAGAGUCAGCCCCACUCACUCAGAAGGGGGGUCCCUGCACCCUCCUCUGGCAGCCAUUGGCUGUGGUGGCCUCACAGGUGGGGCCCAGGGGUCUGUGUUCACACUGCCCAGCAGCAGGCGAGGCACACGGUGGGCUCUGGACGGUGGGCACUUGCUGGCUACACGUGGGGACAGAGCGGGUCCUUCCCUGCACCCUCUAUUCAUUUAUCCACACAGGGAUUAAUUCGUUUGUCCACUCGCUGGUUCCAUUCAGCACACCCCAUUCGCUCAGCUCAGCGUGGGCGGCAGAGGGGUCAGAGGUGGUGGGGGCCCAUGACCUCCUCUCUGGAGCUGCGCUAAACUGGCCAGCUGGCUCCUGGCUGGGGCCUCUCUGGGACUCAUCCUCCUGCCCUACUCACCUCCCUCUGCCUCUGUGCUUGCUGCUGACCACCACCCAAAGAAGCAGGCAUUUCUGGGCGAGGUGGGUCCCGGCCCCCUGUGGCCGAAGGUGUUCCCUGGGAAUGGACAGCUGUGAGCAGGCGGAGCCACACACAGAGCCACCGACCGGGCUGUGUAGGUGAAGGAGCCACGUGGAGGUGUGCAGGAGGUGGAACACUUAGGACCCUUUCCCGUGGGCAGAGACCCAGUGCCGGGGGAGGCCUGGCUGGGUCGUACCCCCAGCCUCACCCUGGCUCAGGACACCGGCACCCAGAAUCCUUGGGCCACUCCGAGCCCAGAGGCACCCAGGCCCUCCUUGAGCUACAUGCAGCUUUAAAACACACAUGUCCUUUGACCUCCUCCCACCCAGGGGGUUUCUCUGCUCUCUCCCCUUGAAUCUGGCGGCCUCCACCCCGCCCCGACCCCACACAAAUG